rfam:Termitomyces sp. J132 unplaced genomic scaffold scaffold166, whole genome shotgun sequence.
GCCCGCCUAGCUCAAUCGGAUAGAGCGUCAGACUCUUACUUUGGGCAGGUGUAUCUGAAGGCUGCGAGUUCGACCCUCGCGGUGGGCU